rnacentral:tRNA from 1 species
GGGUGUAGCUCAGUGGUAGAGCUCUUGCUCAGCAUGCAGAAGGCCCUGGGUUCAGUCCCCAGCACUGCA